UCGCACGAGAAAGCAGCUUCGGCUGUGAGUAAAGUGGCGGACGGGUGAGUAACACGUGGGUAAUCUGCCUUUCAGCGGGGGAUAACAGUCCGAAAGGAUUGCUAAUACCGCAUACGUCGGCGAGGUUUAUGGACCUUGUCGGGAUAGCCGGCCUCUCCAUGGAAGCUGGCGCUGAAAGAGGAGCCCGCGGCCCAUCAGCUAGUUGGCGGGGUAAUGGCCCACCAAGGCUAAGACGGGUAGCUGGUCUGAGAGGAUGAUCAGCCACACUGGGACUGAGACACGGCCCAGACUCCUACGGGAGGCAGCAGUGGGGAAUAUUGGGCAAUGGGCGCAAGCCUGACCCAGCCACGCCGCGUGAGUGAUGAAGGCCUUCGGGUCGUAAAGCUCUGUGGGGAGGGACGAAACCUGGCGACCUAACACGUCGUUAGCUGACGGUACCUCCUUAGCAAGCACCGGCUAACUCCGUGCCAGCAGCCGCGGUAAUACGGAGGGUGCAAACGUUGCUCGGAAUCAUUGGGCGUAAAGCGCACGUAGGCGGUCCAGCAAGUCGGGUGUGAAAGCCCUCGGCUUAACCGAGGAAGUGCAUUCGAAACUACUGGACUUGAAUACUGAAGAGGAUCGCGGAAUUCCCGGUGUAGAGGUGAAAUUCGUAGAUAUCGGGAGGAACACCAGUGGCGAAGGCGGCGAUCUGGGCAGAUAUUGACGCUGAGGUGCGAAAGCGUGGAGAGCA
rnacentral:rRNA from 1 species